rnacentral:rRNA from 1 species
AUGUUGAUGGACGAUUACUUCGCAGACAAUCCAACAUAUCCGCCGCACCUCUUCCAGAGAAGGUAUCAAAUGCGUCGAUCCCUCUUUGUAAAAAUAGUGCAAGUUUGCGAGGCUAAUUGUCGCUAUUUUACUCAAAAAAGAAAUGUCGUGGGCUUGAAGGUAUUUAGUGCAUAUCAAAAAAUCUCGGCAACUAUGCCGGUAAUUGCAUACAGCAUUCCGGCUGACUAUGCCGAUGAGUACCUUCGCAUUGUUGAAGAUACUACAAUUAAGUCAGUGACUAUGUUUGUCAAAGUAAUCAUCCAUGUCUUUACUCUUGAAUAUCUUCGGUCACCCAACGAGGAGGACACAAAAAAGUUGAUGGCAUCAAGUAUGAGUAGAGGUUGGCCUGGCAUGCUAGGAAGCAUUCAUUGUAUGCAUUGGACUUGGAAAAGCUGCCCGAGGGCAUGGCAGGGAAUGUAUUGUGGCAAGUCUCGUGAUGCAACAAUUGCGCUAGAGGCCGUACCAUAUGAUGAUUUACGGAUUUAG